AUUGAACGCUGGCGGCAGGCCUAACACAUGCAAGUCGAGCGGAUGAAGGGAGCUUGCUCCUGGAUUCAGCGGCGGACGGGUGAGUAAUGCCUAGGAAUCUGCCUGGCAGUGGGGGAUAACGUCCGGAAACGGGCGCUAAUACCGCAUACGUCCUGAGGGAGAAAGUGGGGGAUCUUCGGACCUCACGCUAUCAGAUGAGCCUAGGUCGGAUUAGCUAGUUGGUGGGGUAAAGGCCUACCAAGGCGACGAUCCGUAACUGGUCUGAGAGGAUGGUCAGUCACCCUGGAACUGAGACACGGUCCAGACUCCUACGGGAGGCAGCAGUGGGGAAUAUUGGACAAUGGGCGAAAGCCUGAUCCAGCCAUGCCGCGUGUGUGAAGAAGAUCUUCGGAUUGUAAAGCACUUUAAGUUGGGAGGAAGGGCAGUAAGUUAAUACCUUGCUGUUUUGACGUUACCAACAGAAUAAGCACCGGCUAACUUCGUG
rnacentral:rRNA from 1 species